CUACAGGGGUAUCUAAUCCUGUUCGCUACCCACGCUUUCGCAUCUCAGCGUCAGGAGAGGCCCAGAGAGCCGCCUUCGCCGCUGGUGUUCCUCCCGAUAUCUGCGCAUUCCACCGCUACACCGGGAAUUCCACUCUCCUCUACCUUCCUCAAGCCCAGCAGUAUCGGAUGCAGUUCCAGGGUUGAGCCCUGGGCUUUCACAUCCGACUUACUGGGCCGCCUACAUGCGCUUUACGCCCAAUGAUUCCGGACAACGCUCGGACCCUACGUAUUACCGCGGCUGCUGGCAC
rnacentral:rRNA from 1 species